UGAGUAACACGUAUCCAACCUGCCAUCUACUCUUGGACAGCCUUCUGAAAGGAAGAUUAAUACAAGAUGGCAUCAUGAGUUCACAUGUUCACAUGAUUAAAGGUAUUCCGGUAGACGAUGGGGAUGCGUUCCAUUAGAUAGUAGGCGGGGUAACGGCCCACCUAGUCUUCGAUGGAUAGGGGUUCUGAGAGGAAGGUCCCCCACAUUGGAACUGAGACACGGUCCAA
rnacentral:rRNA from 1 species